rnacentral:lncRNA from 1 species
UUGGACUAGACAACCUUUAGGGGUCCCUUCCAACACAAAUGUGAUCUAGCUAGAAUUCCCAGCCUGUCCUACCUGGGAGCAGCUUGAUGAUGUUUCAUUUGUAGGCCUGUAGCACUGAAUUUGCUGUCCCUGGAUGCUACCCACCUUGCAGAACUGUGCUUGCUUUCAUCCACAGCUGCCUCCUGCUUGCCCCCACCUGCAGCUGCAGUGGCUUUGGGGGCUGGUGCCUCCUUACACCACCUGGGCUGUACUUUUGGCACCAGUCUAAUAGUAGAAUACCUCAAGUCUAGGCUUGAUUAGAAGUCUUAACAUGCCCGCUUCACUGUUGCAGUGAAGUUCUCUGUUAUGUGCUCUGCAAGAUGGGUAACUUUGGAACAGAGUAUUUGCUUUUAAUGUUUAGUGGUCCUGUUUUGUUUGUUUGUUUUCUGGCAUUCUCAGUGCUCCCCUCUCUCAUAGGCUUAGUCAUGGUAGCAGGGAUUUUUAGGGAACAUGCAUUACAGAAGGCAGACAACGUGAUAGAAAUAUAUGUAACACACUGGCAAGCACUUAAAAAAAUAAAAUGCAGUCACAUAAUUCCUUGUGUGCGUGUUGGUGUGAUCUGAGCAUGAAUGGCAGGGUCAGGACACAGCUAGAUUGCUAUGAACGUCGUGUGGCUCGGGGUAUUUAUAAAUAAAACAACCUGGCUGUUUUCAUUAUAAAUGGAUGUCCUUUGAGUUGGAUUCAGCCUCGAGAUCCUAUCAAAAAAUUGCCUCCAAGCUGGCUGGAAUCCCAGGGAUUCUGAGGUGUCCUGAGGUUUUGUAGCACACCACCGCUCUCAAAGCUUUCACACCAGAUACAGCCUGUAUGGAUCUCAGGUUUUUCGGUGGCAUUCACUGCAUUUGCACAGUUCUUCUUUUUGAGUGCCCUGCACUGAAUCAGUUUCCAUUAACCACUGUGUGACUACUGCUUUUUCUUCCUAGAGCUUCGGAAGAGCCAAACCUCCCCUUACUGGAGGAAACAGCUCAUUCGCUAUCUGCCUGCUGCAGAAUGAACUUUUAACUUGGGCUUAUCCUAGCAUACUCAGUUUGCUCAUUUAUUUGCUGGCUUUUGAACAUUUCUGCACAAUGUUAGAUUUCUGAGCUCUUCUGGGACUCAAAUAAUUCAAACACUUCAGUUUAAACUUCUGUCAUUAAGUGUAUAUGAACAAUGUCCCAAAUGCCUCUCUAUGUUCAGCGUUGUGAAAUGUGUCAAAUGGUGUCAAAGGAGCAUUUGAACCCGAAGUAAAUAUUAACAAAUGU